rnacentral:misc_RNA from 1 species
AAAAUAUCUGAUGAAGAAGCUUAUAAUAUAUAUUCUGUUAAUGUGAAUUUCCAAUUCGAUGCUUUGGUCUUGUGUUUUAUGUGAUGAAGAAUGAUUUGGAUUUCCUUUCAUUCAUUUACUUUAAGGAAAGAGACACCACAAACAGGUAUCUAUGACUUUGUAAUCAUUUUUGUCCAGACUGAUAAUCAAGUUAGGGGCAAGCUUCUGUGGCUAUCCUAAGCCAAGAAUCCACAAGUUGGGCUCAUUUAUUGUAACCAUAUUUGUCCAAACUAGGAGUCCCGAUGGAGGUAAACUCCUGUGUCCAAACUUUUAUAUAGAAUCUCUAUCAGAAUCUGGGUUUGAUUUUAUCAGAGGGAAAUGAUUACAAA